GUACUGCUGAAGAGUCCCAAACUAGAGCGAGACAGCUGUCCAGUAC
rfam:Trichobilharzia regenti genome assembly, scaffold: TRE_scaffold0022174